AUUGAACGCUGGCGGCAGGCCUAACACAUGCAAGUCGAGCGAGCGGCUGACGGGUGAGUAAUGUCUGGGAAACUGCCUGCUGGAGGGGGAUAACUACUGGAACCGGUCGCUAAUACCGCAUACCAUCAGAUGUUCCCCGAUGGGAUUAGCUAGUAGGUGGGGUAAUGGCUCACCUAGGCUACGAUCCCUAGCUGGUCUGAGAGGAUGACCAGCCACACUGGAACGGAGACACGGUCCAGACUCCUACGGGAGGCAGCAGUGGGGAAUAGUGCACAAUGGGCGCAAGCCUGAUGCAGCCAUGCCGCGUGUGUGAAGAAGGCCUUCGGGUUGUAAAGCACUUUCAGCGGGGAGGCGUUACCCGCAGAAGAAGCACCGGCUAACUCCGUGCCAGCAGCCGCGGUAAUUC
rnacentral:rRNA from 1 species